rnacentral:rRNA from 1 species
UACGUAGGGAGCAAGCGUUGUCCGGAAUCAUUGGGCGUAAAGAGCGCGUAGGUGGCUUUAUAAGUCCGUUGUGAAAGUCAAAGGCUCAACCUUUGAAAGCCGAUGGAUACUGUGAAGCUAGAGUACGGAAGAGGCGAGUGGAAUUCCUGGUGUAGCGGUGGAAUGCGUAGAUAUCGGGAGGAACACCAGUGGCGAAGGCGACUACCUGGCCUGUUCUUGACGCUGAGGCGCGAAAGCUAGGGGAGCAAACGGG